GCCGUCGUAGCUCAGCUUGGCAGAGCGCCGCAAUGGUAAUGCGGAGGCCGCGCGUUCGACCCGCGCCGUCGGCACCA
rnacentral:tRNA from 1 species